rnacentral:rRNA from 1 species
AGAGUUUGAUCAUGGCUCAGGACGAACGCUGGCGGCGUGCUUAACACAUGCAAGUCGAACGAGAACGUUCCCUUCGGGGAGCAAGUACAGUGGCGCACGGGUGCGUAACACGUGGAUAACCAACCCUUGAGUGGGGGACAACAUCUCGAAAGGGGUGCUAAUCCCGCAUAAGACCACAGUGGCUGCGGCCACAGGGGUCAAAGACUUCGGUCGCUUGAGGACGGGUCCGCGGCCCAUUAGUUUGUUGGUGGGGUAAUGGCCUACCAAGGCUAUGAUGGGUAGCUGGUCUGAGAGGACGAUCAGCCACACUGGAACUGAGACACGGUCCAGACUCCUACGGGAGGCAGCAGUGAGGAAUAUUGCGCAAUGGGCGAAAGCCUGACGCAGCAACGCCGCGUGGGUGAUGAAGGCCUUCGGGUUGUAAAGCCCUGUCAGGGGGGAAGAUGCCGCAAGGUGACGGUACCCUCAAAGGAAGCACCGGCUAACUCCGUGCCAGCAGCCGCGGUAAUACGGAGGGUGCAAGCGUUGUCCGGAU